rnacentral:tRNA from 1 species
GAAGCAAGUAGCUCAGUUGGGAGAGCACCCGCCCGUAUGAGUAGCGUACUGCAGUCGUGAAAGUACAAAGAGGCGGGAGGUCGCAGGUUCAAAUCCUGCCUUGCUUCU